rnacentral:rRNA from 1 species
UACGGAGGGGGCUAGCGUUGUUCGGAAUUACUGGGCGUAAAGCGCACGUAGGCGGCUUUGUAAGUUAGAGGUGAAAGCCCAGGGCUUAACCCUGGAAUUGCCUUUAAGACUGCAUCGCUAGAAUCGUGGAGAGGUAAGUGGAGUUCCGAGUGUAGAGGUGAAAUUCGUAGAUAUUCGGAAGAACACCAGUGGCGAAGGCGACUUACUGGACACGUAUUGACGCUGAGGUGCGAAAGCGUGGGGAGCAAACAGG